UACGAAGGGGGCAAGCGUUGUUCGGAUUUACUGGGCGUAAAGGGCGCGUAGGCGGAUCUGCAAGUCAGAGGUGAAAGCCCUGGGCUCAACCCGGGAAUGGCCUUUGAGACUGCAAGUCUUGAGUGCGAGAGAGGGUGGCGGAAUACCCAGUGUAGAGGUGAAAUUCGUAGAUAUUGGGUAGAACACCGGUGGCGAAGGCGGCCACCUGGCUCGCAACUGACGCUGAGGCGCGAAAGCGUGGGGAGCAAACAGG
rnacentral:rRNA from 1 species